UGUUCGACCUUAACAGGUUUCGUGUCUAAACAGGUUGACACGAUAAGACCUGUUUAAAUUUCGUGUCUAAACAGGUUAAACCUGUUAAGACCCGUUAGUGACCUGUUUAUAAUUUUAAAUUAAAAAAUAUAUGAAAGUGGGGAGGGGACAUGUGGAGUCAAGGGUAUACCCAAAAAUUUGAAUUCAACCGCUCACUUUCAUCCGCUCUAAUCCAAAAUAACCAAACCCUAAAAUUUUCUAAUUCAGCCGCUCACUUUCAUCACUUCAGUUAGUAUCACCGCGGGCGAUCGUUCUCAUCCCUUCGACCUUCAUCAUCGGAAGUUCUCGUCGACCUUCAUCAUCAGACCUUCAUCAUCGGACCUUCCCUUCGACCUUCAUCAUCGGACCCUCUCGUCGACCUUCAUCAUCGGACCUUCAUCAUCGAACCUUCUCUUCGAACUUCAUCAUCGGACCUUCUCGUCGACCUUCAUCAUUGUUGAAAAUAUGUCUCGUUUAUCUUAAUUGUUCGACCUUCAUCAUCGCUGGUUUGAUUGUUUAGAAUUGAAGAUCUUGAGAAAGAAAGACACAUGGGAACUUGAAUGUUGAAACUAUUUGGAUGUUAUGAUUAGACUUUUAUGGAUUUCGUUUUAAGUUUGUUAAGACAUUAUGUGUUUAUGCAUGUUUUAUGACUUUUGUGCA